rnacentral:lncRNA from 1 species
UGUGAGAGAUCCUUCUAAGAUGCUUUGUUGUGGUUUCAUCAAGGGAUGCAGAUGUGAGUGGACAUACAGAAAGUAAAAUGUACCGAAUUAUAAAUACAUGGCCUCAAAAUAUCUCUAAUUUUUGCCAUGAAGAAGGCAUGCCUUUCUACCACAACUGAGUUUGCAGGAAUUUCUCUAUUACUUUAUUUUAUUUAAAUCUGAUUCAAAAACUCCUAUCUGCCAAUCCAUUAUAAAGAAUUUCAUUCUUGGUCAUUAUUGGGCCUUUUGUUUCACUGUCUAUCCCCAGAGUCAUGACAACAAAAUAGAUGGGAAAAAAAAUAUAUAGCAAUUUGGGAAGUCAUUUCCAUCUGUGUUCCAUACUGCUUACUAUUGAUACUGUCCAAAGCCACAUGAGCCCUUCUAUUCAGGGGCUUCAGAGUUAAAAUCACCAAGGGAUACCACUACAUGCUAUUAUAAUAACUAUAAUAAAAAAUACUGAUGACACCAAGUGCUGAGUAAAAUGUAGAACAGUUUGAAUUCUCACAUGUUGCUAGUAGAAGUGUAAGAUAAUACAACUACUCUCAGAAACAGUGUGGCAGUUUCUAUUAAGUUAAACAGACUUUUAUCACAUGAUUCAGAAACCUCACUCUUGGAUAUUUACCCUACAGAAAUUAAAUCUUAUAUUCACACAAGACCCUGUUCACAAACGUCCAUAGUAGUUUUGUGAUAGUCAAAAGCUGAAAACAACCCAAAUAUCCGACAACAGGUAAAAGGAUGAACAGAUGGAGAGGUAUGUCCAUACCAUGGAAUACUAUCCAGCUGUAAAGAGAAGUGAACUAUUGAUACACACAACAUAGAUUGAUCUCAAAGACACGCUGAGAGCAGCCAGUUUCAAAAGAAUAGGUACUAUAUGAUUUCAUUCAUCUGACAUUCUCAAAAAGACAAAACCAAUCAGUGGUUCUCAGGAGUUAUGAAUGGCAGCAGGCUUGACUGUAAAGGAAUAAGAUGGCAGAGUUCUGGAGUUUGUCAUGGAAUUGUUCUGUAGCCUGAAAAUAUGAACCCAAAUGUGUGUUAAAAUUUGUAGAACAAUACAAAAUUAAAAAGUAAAUUUUACUGUGUGAUAAUAUUA